rfam:Medicago truncatula strain A17 chromosome 7, whole genome shotgun sequence.
UGAGGUCUGUGAUGUGUUUUUAUUUGCCUACAUUGUCUGAUAAUCUUUUUUAGAUUUUGAUGUGUUUAAAUAACCUGAGACCUCU